GGAUUCUAGACUCUUCCUCUGAAAAUUGAACCCAGGAAAUGGAACAAUGACUGAACUGUGCCAACAGUCUACUGUCCUCAUGCCCCUUUAAAGAAAUAUCAGCAGUAUCAAUCUACAGAGAGAAAGGACAUUUUGGUUCCUGGUUUCAGGGUCAGUAGUCCAUGAUCAAGAGGACCCAUUGCUUUUUAUGUGGUGAGCAGGACAUCACCGCCAGAAUGAAUGCAGAGAGAAACAAGGCAUCUUUACAUCUAUCUGACUGCUGGAGGACAAGAGAAAAUGGAUGAGUUAGGAGUCCUACAGUUUCCCAGUUGCUCUAUUUGAAUAGAAUUUUGUAUUGAGUUUUAAGAUAACUAUUUUGUCCUUUGGAAUUUUGGAGAAAUGACUAAGUGGCAUUUCAGGAUGCACAGACAUUGUUGAAGGCUCUGGAAUAUUAUGGACCCUGCUUUUUUUGAGGCUUCUUUCUGUUUUUUAAAAUGAUUUUUACUUUGAUUCAUGAAAUUCUGGGACUUCAAGACAGCGUAUUUGAUUGGGCCUACUAUAUUGCAUAGAUUGGACUGUAUAUAAACUUUGUGUAUAUCCCAGCUUGGCCUCAAAUUAGUGAUCUUUCUGCCUCACCCUCCUCACUACUGAGACGAUGGGUAUGUGUAUCACACCUCGCUCAGUGAACGCUUUAUAUCUGAGGAUAUAUGUCCUUCAGUUUUAAAUGGAUUUAUGUAUUUAUAUAAGAGGGUUUUCCUUCUUUUUCUCAGUUCAUUUCCUAGGAGUGUUACUACACAGACAAUGAAAAUCUUAUUACUAUUUUUAUAUGUUGUAUAAUUUGGUUGUAUUGCUUUAUAGUCAGUGAGAUUUCUAUGAUUUUUGUUACAAAUAUAAGUUUAUAUAUCAGGUGCUUUCCUUGUUAAAAAUUUAAAGACACCAUUUUCCACUGCUCCAAUUUCAAGGCAUCCUUUCCUGUUGCUUCUCCUCCUGUCUGAUGGUCUUGUGCAUUAAUACCACUUUAAACACAUUUACUAUUUUGUGUUAGCAGGGUUUUGAUAGGGGCAAGAAAUGAAUACACAAUCCACCUGACAGUUCUAGUAAUGGGAUCAUUCUGGGCAAAGUUUAUGGUAGAAUACAACUGGAAAUUGGAUGUCACAAAAGCCUAGUGACAAGUUAUGUUUACAUUUAUUUAAUUUCAGUAUUUAUAUUGCUUGGUGCCAUUAAGUGAAACAGCUCCAGGGCUGCCGAAGAGCCCCAGGAAAGCUGUAGACAAUUUCUCUUUGUGUUUCUAGGAUAUCUGAUGUCAUAUUAUUUUUGGGUGACAGUAGAUGUGCACAAAUACUGCUUACAGGUGUAUCAAGCACCACAGUAGUCUGGCUUUUAAAAAUGAAGGCUCCACAGUUAUGGGGACCUCAAUUCAAACACCACUUCAGUAUUUAUUAACAAUGAGGCUUCUCAGUUUCUCAGACCUUCUGGAUCUUCUUCUGUAGAAUGGGGUUUAAUUAUUGUGUGCACUUUGUAGGCCUGUUGUGAAGAUUAACUGAGAUAAUGUAGUUAGCGUACAUUGCACAGCAUCAGGUAUGGUAGAUAUUGAGUAAGUGACAGCUGUUAUUAUUUUAAUGGUACAUAAUUAUACUUUAACAAAAGCUGUAACUCCUUACAAAGCAGUGGAUUGUCUAAAACAUAUCAAAGCAUACACUUGAUCCUAAAAUGAAGAAAUAUAAAUGUAUAAGGUAUUACUUGCUCAUAAUAACUAUUUAAUUUGUAGUGAAAGAAUUCAUUAGAAAACUGGAACCUUAAAAGAUUCAUCCAUAUAUAUAGAUGUGCCAAGGGUCCGAGAGAGAAGCCUAAAGAUUACUUCGUAAUAUACAUAAUAUUAUCAAUAUUAUAUAGAAUAAAAUAUAUUAGUAUGCAUGUAUGGAAAUAGUUUGUGUGAUAUGAAAGCAUAAACUUACUGUAAAUAAAUAAUACAUUUUGGUGAAUACUUUCAUUUGUUUCUCUUUUAUUUUAUUUUGUUUCCAUUAAU